AUGGGUAUGGGUUCCAAGAUGAAGCGUAGCAGCAGCAGCCUUGUUGUAUCGUGUGUACUCCUCGGCCUAGCACUGCUCCUCGUCGGGGCGGCCGCCACCAGGAACAGCCCAAGCUCCUCCUGCAAAGCGCAGUGUAGCGGACGGGAGGACUACAAACCGUGCCACGUCGCGUGCCUUUGGGGCCUGCGUCUGGGAGAACCACCAAACUGCCACCUGCGCUGCCGCCACGCGAAAUCCUACGACGCCUGUUUCGAACAGUGCAAAAAAGAACAAGAAGCAAUAGGAGGAAGAGUUGCGCUACUGGUGGCGGCGGCAGAGGGGCAAAAGCAAGGACAAGAAGAAAGAGCAAAAGGAGCAGCUGGGCUCCUGGCGAUGCCGACCGAGCGCGCUGAAUGA
rnacentral:rRNA from 1 species